AUGGCCGGGAGGAAGAGCGGUGAGCGGAAGAAGGCGGUGACCCGGUCCACAAAGGCUGGACUCCAGUUCCCCGUCGGCCGCAUCGGGCGCUAUCUCAAGAAGGGCCGCUACGCGGACCGCAUCGGCUGGGGCGCCCCCAUCUACCUCGCCGCCGUCCUCGAGUACCUUGCCGCCGAGAUGCUGGAGUUGGCGGGCAACGCGGCCAAGGACAACAAGAAGACCCGCAUCAUGCCGCGCCACCUGCUUCUCGCCACUCGCAACGACGAGGAGCUAUCCAAGCUGCUUGACGGCAUCACCAUCGCCCACAGUGGCGUGUUGCCCAACAUCCACUCUGUGCUGUUCUCCAAGAAGGCCAACAUGCUCUAG
rnacentral:rRNA from 1 species